rnacentral:rRNA from 1 species
AUUGAACGCUGGCGGCAGGCCUAACACAUGCAAGUCGAGCGAGCGGCGGACGGGUGAGUAAUGUAUGGGGAUCUGCCCGAUGGAGGGGGAUAACUACUGGAAACGGUGGCUAAUACCGCAUACUAUCGGAUGUACCCAGAUGGGAUUAGCUAGUAGGUGGGGUAAAGGCUCACCUAGGCGACGAUCGCUAGCUGGUCUGAGAGGAUGACCAGCAAAAAUGGAACUGAGACACGGCCCAGACUCGUACGGGAGGCAGCAGAGGGGAAUAUUGCACAAUGGGCGCAAGCCUGAUGCAGCCAGGCCGCGGGUGUGAAGAAGGCCUUAGGGUUGUAAAGUACUUUCAGCGGGGAGGCGUUACCCGCAGAAGAAGCACCGGCUAACUCCGGGCCAGCAGCCGCGGUAAUAC